rnacentral:rRNA from 1 species
GGGACACGUGGUAUCCUGUCUGAAUAUGGGGGGACCAUCCUCCAAGGCUAAAUACUCCUGACUGACCGAUAGUGAACCAGUACCGUGAGGGAAAGGCGAAAAGAACCCCGGCGAGGGGAGUGAAAAAGAACCUGAAACCGUGUACGUACAAGCAGUGGGAGCACCUUCGGGUGUGACUGCGUACCUUUUGUAUAAUGGGUCAGCGACUUAUAUUCUGUAGCAAGGUUAACCGUAUAGGGGAGCCGCAGGGAAACCGAGUCUUAACUGGGCGUUAAGUUGCAGGGUAUAGACCCGAAACCCGGUGAUCUAGCCAUGGGCAGGUUGAAGGUUGGGUAACACUAACUGGAGGACCGAACCGACUAAUGUUGAAAAAUUAGCGGAUGACUUGUGGCUGGGGGUGAAAGGCCAAUCAAACCGGGAGAUAGCUGGUUCUCCCCGAAAGCUAUUUAGGUAGCGCCUCGUGAAUUCAUCUUCGGGGGUAGAGCACUGUUUCGG